rnacentral:rRNA from 1 species
UAGUGAUCCGGUGGUUCUGAAUGGAAGGGCCAUCGCUCAACGGAUAAAAGGUACUCCGGGGAUAACAGGCUGAUACCGCCCAAGAGUUCAUAUCGACGGCGGUGUUUGGCACCUCGAUGUCGGCUCAUCACAUCCUGGGGCUGAAGUAGGUCCCAAGGGUAUGGCUGUUCGCCAUUUAAAGUGGUACGCGAGCUGGGUUUAGAACGUCGUGAGACAGUUCGGUCCCUAUCUGCCGUGGGCGCUGGAGAAUUGAGGGGGGCUGCUCCUAGUACGAGAGGACCG